GACGAACGCUGGCGGCGGUGCUUAACACAUGCAAGUCGAACGAGGAGCGAGUGGAAGCUUAGCUUCUAUCAAUCUUAGUGGCGAACGGGUGAGUAACGCGUAAUCAACCUGCCCUUCAGAGGGGGACAACAGUUGGAAACGACUGCUAAUACCGCAUACGAUCCAACCUCGGCAUCGAGGAUGGAUGAAAGGUGGCCUCUAUUUAUAAGCUAUCACUGAAGGAGGGGAUUGCGUCUGAUUAGCUAGUUGGAGGGGUAACGGCCCACCAAGGCAAUGAUCAGUAGCCGGUCUGAGAGGAUGAACGGCCACAUUGGGACUGAGACACGGCCCAG
rnacentral:rRNA from 1 species